GGGAAAGAGUCCAGCCCAGUGGUGAGAUGGAAAACGAGUGAGAGCAGAAGCGUUGUUGAUGCCAGGCAAGACAAUCACCAACGAAAUCAUGCUGCCCGAGCAUGGUGAGAUUUUCCCAGGGCCCCCCGAGUUGCCCGAGGCCCCUGGGCAUGGGCCCCCUGUGCGUUAAGCCGCCACUGCAAUGGCUGCAGGGCUCAGGAUACCGCUUCCCAGCAUGCCUGGAAUGCCGGGCGGAGACGGAACAUGCGGGGAGCUACUACCAGAGCCAAUCAGAAGUCAGCGCUCGGAGACAAAGGGGUCAGUUUACAUUUGGUUAUUGGCUGUUGGUGGAGUGGAGCAGAGGGAGCCAAUCAGAAGCCAGCGCUCGGAGACAAAGGGGUUGGUUUCCAUUCGGUUGUUGGCUGUUGGUGGAGUGGAGCUGAGGGAGACGCGUCACAGCCUGGGAGGUGCCCAUUGACACUCAGACCGAAGACCCGUUCCAGGAUGGACGUGCUGAGAAGGUAUCUCAGGAGGAAGGUGGCCCCGGAGCCAGAGGGGACCAGCUGCCAGCGUCCCCAGACAGAGAGCUGCCCCUCCAUCCGCAUGGCAUGGGAAGCAGGCCCCGGCCACCCCAGGAGAUGGUCCUGCUCGGCCUUGCUCACUGGGAGGAAACCAGCCCCCAGGGCUGGUGCUGAGCAGAGAGAGACAACAUCCAGGCCGAGAUGGAGGUGGCCUAAGUUCAAUCUGGGCAGGCAGGACUCAGCCCAUGGCAGGAGCCAGGCAACGCAGCUCUGGGUUUGCUUCUGCUGGAAGGCAUCCCUCAUCCCAGCUGCGUGGGCCAGCAGGAGGCAUUCCCAGGGCAGGAGCUGGGGGAUCGCUGCCUCAGCUGCUUAACUGUUGCCGGAGAGGAGAGCAGCUACUCUCUGGAGGUUCUCUGCAACACGGAGGCUGAGUGGUCCUCCACUGCAGCAAGAGUCACCCUCUGCCCUUGUCUCUCUGAUGCAGAGACCCCCACAGACCAGUCAGAGA